rnacentral:rRNA from 1 species
UACGUAGGGUGCGAGCGUUGUCCGGAAUUAUUGGGCGUAAAGAGCUCGUAGGCGGUUUGUUGCGUCGGCCGUGAAAACCUGCAGCUUAACUGUGGGCCUGCGGCCGAUACGGGCAGACUUGAGUUCGGUAGGGGAGACUGGAAUUCCUGGUGUAGCGGUGAAAUGCGUAGAUAUCGGAAGGAACACCGGUGGCGAAGGCGGUUCUCUGGGCCUGUACUGACGCUGAGGAACGAAAGCGUGGGGAGCGAACAGG